rnacentral:rRNA from 1 species
UGGGGAAUAUUGGGCAAUGGGCGGAAGCCUGACCCAGCAACGCCGCGUGAAGGAAGAAGGCUUUCGGGUUGUAAACUUCUUUUCUGAGGGACGAACAGAUGACGGUACCUUAGGAAUAAGCCACGGCUAACUACGUGCC